rnacentral:rRNA from 1 species
UACGUAGGGGGCAAGCGUUGUCCGGAAUCAUUGGGCGUAAAGCGCGCGUAGGCGGCCCUGUAAGUCCGUUGUGAAAGUCAAAGGCUCAACCUUUGAAAGCCGAUGGAUACUGCAGGGCUCGAGUUCGGAAGAGGCGAGUGGAAUUCCUGGUGUAGCGGUGGAAUGCGCAGAUAUCAGGAGGAACACCGGUGGCGAAGGCGGGUCUCU